rnacentral:rRNA from 1 species
AUUGAACGCUGGCGGCAUGCCUUACACAUGCAAGUCGAACGGUAACAGGUCUUCGGAUGCUGACGAGUGGCGAACGGGUGAGUAAUGCAUCGGAACGUGCCCAGUAGUGGGGGAUAGCCCGGCGAAAGCCGGAUUAAUACCGCAUACGACCUGAGGGUGAAAGGGGGGACGCAAAGCCUCCUCGCAUUUGGAGCGGCGGAUGUCAGAUUAGCUAGUUGGUGGGGUAAAGGCCUACCAAGGCAACGAUCGGUGGUUGGUCUGAGAGGAGGACCCGCCACACUGGGACUGAGACACGGCCCAGACUCCUACGGGAGGCAGCAGUGGGGAAUUUUGGACAAUGGGCGCAAGCCUGAUCCAGCAAUGCCGCGUGCAGGAAGAAGGCCUUCGGGUUGUAAACUGCUUUUGUCAGGGAAGAAAUCUUCUGGGUUAAUACCUCGGGAGGAUGACGGUACCUGAAGAAUAAGCACCGGCUAACUACGUGCCAGCCGCCGCGGUAAGAC